rnacentral:lncRNA from 1 species
UCCAUUUUUAUCACCAACUUGUCUACUUGCCUUUUCUUAACCUUAGUUGGAUCAACAAUAGUGGUUCUUGUUCCUUCGGUUGAGAAGAUGCUUUUAUUUCUGAGGGAUCCUGGACUCACCAUUGCACACCAAUAAACUGACCACCUUUAACUAGAUUUUUAUUUCAAAACAACAAACAUGUUAGAAUGAACACUCUCUUUCUUUUCCCUUUUUUUUUCUCUUUUUUUUUUGUUUUUUUAAACCAUUCGAUCGAACCUGAUAUGGGUUGCCUACGUAUCAUGUAAGAACAUGAAUCAGAUCUUGCGUAGUUCGGAAAAAUCAGAAAUAAGGUAGAUAAACUAACUCUUUUUGGAUUUUGAUUUUUUUUUUAAUUUUCGAAAGAAAGACUUAUAAAGAAGAAAGAAAAUAUUUUUGGAAUUUGAUUUUUUUUUUGAAAUUUGUUUUCCGAAAGAAGGACUUCUACAUAUGAAAAAAAAUAUUUUUGGAAUUUUUUUUUUUUUGAAUUUUGGGUAGAAAGACUUCCAAAAAAGGAAAAAAAAAUAUAUUUUUGAAUUUUGGUUGAAUUUUUUUUUUUGAAUGAAAGACUUCUAUAAAGGAAGAAAAUGUUUUAGGUUUUUAAUUUUUUUUUUCGUAUUUGAAAUUUUUUAAGGAAAGACUUAUAAAGAGGAAUUAAAAGAAAAUAUUUUUGAAUUUUUAAAAAUUGGGGGCUGGAAUCGAUUAGGUUUGCCUACGUAUCACAUUCGAUAGAAUCAGACCCGCAUAGGUUGGUAAAUUUUGACGCAACAGGAAAAUAUGACUUAUUUUGAAAUUUUCUCUCUUUUUUUUCAAAAUUUCGGCAAAGUUUUCGGAUAUUUUGAAUACCGAAGUUUUCAGAACCGGGUGAUUUUCACUCCUACCUCACUCUUGGUUUUUCUCGAUUUUCUUUCCCUAUUCUAGAAGCCGGUCAACAUGCAAGCCGAAACAGACAUGCACAAGUAGCACGUAAAAUGCAUCAAGAUGGUCUUUUAUAUUGGGUACACCUAUCCUAGACGGACCCAACCCAUGUGUUGAAUCCCCAAAGUCAAAUGCACGUGAUGCAAAUAAAAGUUCCUACUAGGGAUCCGACAUGAGGCUAUGUUAUUCUAAGUUUGAAUCCUGAGGUGUGUUGUUCUAGAUUUGGCUUAUCCGAGCGGACAACUUGAGCCGAGGGGGGAAACGCACCAGAAACCAAAAGGCCAUCCGGCUUUGUAACUGAUUUGAUCCUCGUUCUAAAAUCAGGGAUAUGACACUCUAAUAGAAAAGAAGCCACGCCAGCGUGCGCUUCCCAGAAAAUUUAGAAGACUCAGAGAGAAGGGUUUCACAACUCUUUUAUAUACAUUUCAAAUAAUAUCAAAGCGGUAAAAAGCGACAUUUAGCACAUUAGGCUCAAACACGUAAAAAUCAUAUAAUAAGCAAAAGCCAAGUAUAACUGUUAUUCUAAGCUCGAAUUCCGAACCCUGAACCAGAGAUUCUAGGUUCAUGUCCCCAGCAGAGUCACCAGAGCUGUCACACUUCCUUUUUCCCGAGGGAUAGGGGAUAAGGAGUUUUUUCAAUUAAAGUGACGUUAUUCGAAAUAGGAUUAUUUAUUUAAUUCAGAGUCGCCACUUGGAAUAAUUAUUAUGGUGUCCCAAGUCACCAGUUUAUUUUAAAAUCUCAAAUUGAGGAAAUUGACUCUAUUUAUGGUCCACGAACACAGAAGACCGGGUAAGGAAUUCUGUUAACUUGGGAGAAGGUGUGAGGUACUCCCGAGUUCCGUGGUAUUAGCACGGUCACUUAACAAUUAAUACGUGGCCUAAUUAUUUGAUUUAUUACAUGUUUUAAACCUAUUGUGCAUUUUCGCUUUUAAUUAUUUUAAACAAUUAUGAAGUUUAUUUAAACAAGUUGCGGUGUCGCGCACUUGUUAUUUUUGAACACAUCACAAAUUACGCCACGUGAAACGCACUCGUGAUUCACAAUAUUUUAUUUUAAUUAUUAUUUAAAAUUGUAGUCAAGUCGCGUGAAACACGCACUUGUGUUGGGAGUCACGUAUAUCAUGACUAUGCCACGAGAACCGUACCAGUAAUCACGAUAAUUUAUUAUUAAUCACGCCUAAAGCAGGCUACGAUGUGAGUUAUAGCUCUAAAACUAAUUUAAGAUUGAUUGCGGGUCCAUAUAUUAUGGAUUUUGUGGGAGAAGUGUAGGACUGAAUUCAUUGGAAAUUAAUAAGAGAAUCAGUUUUAUAUACUAAGUUAUUAGAAAUUUGCGUCAUUUAAAUGAAUUACUAUAAUCUAUGUUUACAACUAUUUAACAGGUUACAAGUUAAUCUAAUCAAGGGAUCUAAUUGCUAAAAGAGUCAAUUAGCAUAAAAGUGUUUGAAGUUAUUAGGCGGGUUAGCCCCCCUUUUAUAAAAAAUGGACACCAAAAUUGUUGGGCCUAGUACCUUCAUUUGGCCCAUAGGAAUAUAAUUAAAAUGAAAGCAGUAGCAGUCUUCUACAGCCCAAGCCUAUACCUUUCUUAAUUAAUCCCGAAGCCCUCGUAUCUUAGCAAUCCAUUUUGUCAAACUCUAUUCUUUCUAAAUUAAUUCAAAACAGAGAUUUCCAUAAACUUACAUCAAAAUCAAUCACAUGAUAAUAAAGAUGACAUUAACACACAGAAAAGCUUAAGAAAAUAUAUUCAUUCACGGCACAAUUAUGUUAACGAAAGAGAGAAAUUGACCUUUGAGCUUGCCUCUUCCAAACUUUAUUUAACAGAAAAGAACUCUAAGCAAUUAUUCGUACAGCAACGGCUAAAAUGAACGACAACCGAACUCGACCAACAGGAAUUUUCUCGGAGCUUCAACGAAAAACCUCAACUCGGAACAUAACCACGCGACGAACUCGACUCGGAAAAUGUGGAUUGUUUUUAAAUGGGGGUUUUGACUCGUUUUAUAGGCCGUUUUUCAGCUGAAUCGGGGCCUUUUGGGGGCCAUUUUCGAGCUGGGUUUUGGCUAAGAUUUUGGUGUCGUUUUGGGUGGAAGAGAGCAGCUGGUUUUUGGUGGUUAAAGAAAACUGCUUCUCAUGGCUAAAACUUGAGUUAGGAGAAUUAAAUUGUGAAGAAGAAGAGAAGGCAGUGACUACUUUCUUCUUUCUCCUUAUUCACUCGUUUUUAGCCUCUGUUUCUUCUUUUUUUCUUUUCGGAUCUCUCUUCUCUCUCAACCUUUGUGCUCUCGUUCCUCUCCUCUCUUCUUUUCUGUCGUGUGUGUAUGUAGCUGAAUGGGAGUGUGCAGGUGAAUUUGGAUGAGAGGGAAUAAAUAUGGUUAUGGAGAAAGGCUAGAUGUCACAAAGCAAUUCGUUCUAAAGAAAAAGAAUAUUUGAAUAAGCUAGAAUGAGGUAAAGGGCACGUGAUAUAGAGCAAAAAUUAAGGGAAAGGGGACCACUUAAAAUUCUUUCUUACUUCAUUUCCAACUUUGUUAUUCUCGUUUCUUCUUCUUUUUUUUAUUUUUG